rnacentral:sRNA from 2 species
CCGGGUGGCAUGCCGAAUCCCGCCUCGCCUGGUGUUCAACAGAUCUGAGGGUGGGAGCGGGGGACCCGGGUUCCCGGGCGUUGUGGGUGGGCGUCCUAUCCGGGGUGAAGCCGCCGGUCGUGAUCUGGUGCGUGGUUACCGGGCUUUUUGCAGUCCGAACCCGACCGCUGACUUCGUAGGCGUGAGGAAGGGACAA